rnacentral:lncRNA from 1 species
AAAGAGAAUCCAAAAGGGAGAAGAUCGGUGUCACCAAUCCUCCAUCAAAGACUUAGAAAGAAAAAUAUUAUACAUGGAUGCAGCGGUCAUAUAUCUACACGAUGGUGCAAUGCAGGCGAUCGGCUCACCGGAAUUUUAUUCUGCUGGAGAAGAAGAAGAUUUGCGUCGCCGGAUCCCUUGCUUGCCACUGGCGGCAUUAGCAGCGAAUGCGCCCGGCUUGUAGUAUCGCGGCGUGUACUUCUUGCCCUGGAUCCGCAAUUUUUCCAUCUCAGCUAAGAUGUGGCUCCUGGUAAGAUCGCUCCUGGCCUCGGCGCCGUCUAGCACUAGCGAAAUAAAAAAAAUUCCGCGAAAUAUCGAGCAAGAUCCACAAACCUGUGACCGAUGAAGGAGGAACUGGCAUACGCACUGCCAUGACGACGAAGCACAGUACAAAAAUCAGCGCCAUGACCAGCAGCGAAUCCCUCCUCUCCAUCGCCCCCUCGAAACAAAACCCUAGACGCGAAGAACACGGGAUUGGAAUAUGCCUCGCGCAAACCGGCUGAACCGGUAACCGGCCGU